CCUACGGGAGGCAGCAGUGGGGAAUAUUGCACAAUGGGGGAAACCCUGAUGCAGCGACGCCGCGUGAGUGAAGAAGUAAUUCGUUACGUAAAGCUCUAUCAGCAGGGAAGAAACACUGACCUUACGGUCAGCAGACGGUACCUGAGUAAGAAGCCCCGGCUAACUACGUGCCAGCAGCCGCGGUAAUACGUAGGGGGGAAGCGUUAUCCGGAUUUACUGGGGGUAAAGGGGGCGUCGACGGUGCGCCAAGUCUGGAGUGAAAUGCCGCGGCUUAACUGCGGAACGGCGUUGGAAACUGGCGAACUAGAGUGCGGGAGAGGUAAGCGGAAUGCGUAGUGUAGCGGUGAAAUGCAUAGAUAUCACGCAGAACUCCGAUUGCGAAGGCAGCAUACCGGCGCUCAACUGACGCUCAUGCACGAAAGUGUGGGUAUCGAACAGUAUUAGAUACCCUAGUAGUC
rnacentral:rRNA from 1 species